rnacentral:rRNA from 1 species
GGAGUUUGGACCGUGUCUCAGUUCCAAUGUGGGGGACCUUCCUCUCAGAACCCCUACUGAUCGUCGGCUUGGUGGGCCGUUACCCCACCAACUACCUAAUCAGAAGCGUGCUCACCCAUAGUCCUUACGUUUCAUCACAAAGUCAUGCGGCUUCGUGACACAUGGAGUGUUAAUUCAGCUUUCGCUGGGCUAUCCCCCGACUAUGGACAGAUUGCACACCUGUUACGCACCCGUGCGCCGGUCGCCGCCAGAAAUAGCAAGCUACUUCCGCGCUGCCCCUCGACUUGCAUGUGUUAGGCCUGUCGCUAGCGUUCAUC